CUACAACCCAUACCCCAAGAAACGAUUUCCCCACCCUCCCAGUCAAUCUGAGGGUUGUGUCUCUUGAGCCAAGAAUAUCCUAGAACCACUGGGACUGCCGGGGAGGAAAUUAACAGAAGGGAAAUCAACUCUUCUUGGAAAAUACCAACAGUAAGCUUAACGGGUUCGGUCUCAUGGAAUAUUACUGGUUCAGAUAAAGGUCUACCAUCUAUGGCCUCAACGGCCAAGGGUGUAUCUCUCAAUUGGAAUGGGAUACAAUGCAUAUUAGCGAAAGUUUGGUCUAUAAAGCUUUCUGCUGCUCCAGAAUCUAAUAAUGCCAUCGUAGUAAUAAACCCCUUUUCCCAAGCUAGAGAGACAGGAAUCAGAAGCCUAUGGUCUUUUGUAUUAUG